rnacentral:rRNA from 1 species
CCUACGGGUGGCAGCAGUGGGGAAUAUUGGGCAAUGGGCGCAAGCCUGACCCAGCAACGCCGCGUGAAGGAAGAAGGCUUUCGGGUUGUAAACUUCUUUUGUCAGGGACGAAGCAAGUGACGGUACCUGACGAAUAAGCCACGGCUAACUACGGGCCAGCAGCCGCGGUAAUACGGCGGUGGCAAGCGUUAUCCGGAUUUAUUGGGUGUAAAGGGCGUGUAGGCGGGAAUGCAAGUCAGAUGGGAAAACUAUGGGCCCAACCCACAGCCUGCAUUUGGAACUGGAUUUCUUGAGUGCUGGAGAGGCAAGCGGAAUGCGGGGUGUAGCGGUGAAAUGCGUAGAUAUAGGGCAGAACACCAGUGGCGAAGGCAGAUUGCUGGACAGUAACUGACGCUGAGGCGCGAAAGCGUGGGGAGCGAACAGGAUUAGAUACCCGAGUAGUC